rnacentral:rRNA from 1 species
CAGCAGCCGCGGUAAUACGUAGGGUGCAAGCGUUAAUCGGAAUUACUGGGCGUAAAGCGUGCGCAGGCGGUUAUAUAAGUCAGAUGUGAAAUCCCCGGGCUCAACCUGGGGACUGCAUUUGAGACUGUAUGGCUAGAGUGUGUCAGAGGGGGGUAGAAUUCCACGUGUAGCAGUGAAAUGCGUAGAUAUGUGGAGGAAUACCGAUGGCGAAGGCAGCCCCCUGGGAUAACACUGACGCUCAUGCACGAAAGCGUGGGGAGCAAACAGGAUUAGAGACCCCUGUAGUCCCUGUCUCUUAUAC